UCUUCCCUCUUUCUUCGUGCCUAAUACAUGCAAGUCGAGCGAACGGACGAGAAGCUUGCUUCUCUGAUGUUAGCGGCGGACGGGUGAGUAACACGUGGAUAACCUACCUAUAAGACUGGGAUAACUUCGGGAAACCGGAGCUAAUACCGGAUGAUAUUUUGAACCGCAUGGUUCAAAAGUGAAAGACGGUCUUGCUGUCACUUAUAGAUGGAUCCGCGCUGCAUUAGCUAGUUGGUAAGGUAACGGCUUACCAAGGCAACGAUGCAUAGCCGACCUGAGAGGGUGAUCGGCCACACUGGAACUGAGACACGGUCCAGACUCCUACGGGAGGCAGCAGUAGGGAAUCUUCCGCAAUGGGCGAAAGCCUGACGGAGCAACGCCGCGUGAGUGAUGAAGGUCUUCGGAUCGUAAAACUCUGUUAUUAGGGAAGAACAUAUGUGUAAGUAACUGUGCACAUCUUGACGGUACCUAAUCAGAAAGCCACGGCUAACUACGUG
rnacentral:rRNA from 1 species